UACUUGUGAUGCAGGACAAUUAACCACUCGCUCUAAAAGCUCGAACUGUUAGAGUAUGGCGAAUUAAUCCCUUUAUCUCAUAUCCCAGGCCCCACAUCUCAUGGGUUUUAGGACCUCGGCCGAACCCCCUUCGUGAGCCCCAAAUCACAUGGGCCGCCCACCCCGAGUGUUGUGCCCUGCAUCCCACAAGCGACCCCACUCGAGCCCAGUGUGAAAAUGCCCCUGCAUUAAUCACCCCCGGUGAGGAGUCUCGAACCCGAGACCUCCCGCUCUGAUACCAAUUUGAUGCAGGACAAUUAACCACUUGCUCUAAAAGCUCGAACUGUUAGAGUAUGGCGAAUUAAUCCAUUUAUCUCAUAUCUCAGGCCCCACAUCUCAUGGGUUUUAGGACCUCAGCCGAACCCCCUUCGUGGGCCCCAAAUCACAUGGGUCGCCCACCCCGAGUGUGUCCCCGCAUCCCACGGGCUACCCCACUCGAGCCCGGUGUGAAAUGCGCAUUAAUCACCCCUAGUGAGGAGUCUUGAACACGAGACCUCCUCCAUGGGCCGCACCCACCCCAAGUGUGCCCCUGCAUCCCACAAGCGACCCCACUCGAGCCCAGUGUGAAAAUGCCCCUGCAUUAAUUUGAUACAGGACAAUUAACCACUUGCUCUAAAAGCUCGAACUAUUAGAGUAUGGCGAAUUAAUCCCUUUAUCUCAUAUCCCAGGCCCCACAUCUCAUGGGUUUUAGGACCUCGGCCGAACCCCUUUCGUGGGCCCCAAAUCACAUGGGCCGCCCACACCGAGUGUGUCCCCGCAUCCCACAGGCUACCCCACUCGAGCCUAGUGUGAAAUGUGCAUUAAUCACCCCUGGUGAGGAGUCUCGAACACGAGACCUCCUCCAUGGGCCGCACCCACCCCAAGUGUGCCCCUGCAUCCCACAAGCGACCCCACUCGAGCCCAGUGUGAAAAUGCCCCUGCAUUAACU